rnacentral:rRNA from 1 species
CGUAAUAGCUCACUGGUCGAGUGAUUCUGCGCCGAAAAUUUAACGGGGCUAAACUAUACACCGAAGCUUAGGAUACCGCAAGGUAUGGUAGGAGAGCGUUCUGUACGGAGUGAAGUCGUAGCGAAAGCGGCGGUGGACUGUACAGAAGUGAGAAUGCCGGAAUAAGUAGCGAGAAUUAAGUGAGAAUCUUAAUGGCCGAAAGUCUAAGGUUUUUGGAGGAAGGUUCGUCCGCUCCAAGUAAGUCGGGAGCUAAGGUCAGGCCGAAAGGCGUAGCCGAUGCACAAACGGUUGAUAUUCCGUUACCGUCUACAAUUUAAACAAAGGGACACAUACAAAGCGUUUAACCCGGGCGAUGGUUGACCCGGGCGCAAGGGACUGAAAUUAGAGUAGGGAAGUAAAUGUGGCGUAUGGCGAGAAAAGCUUUGUGAAUAGAAGUAGACGCCCGUACCGCAAACCGACACAGGUGGACAGGAAGAGAAUUCUAAGGCCAGCGGGAGAAGGGUAGUUAAGGAACUCGGCAAAUUGACUCCGUAACUUCGGAAUAAGGAGUGCUCGAAAGAGCCGCAGAGAAUAGGCCCAGGCGACUGUUUAGCAAAAACACAGGUCUCUGCCAAAUCGAAAGAUGAAGUAUAGGGGCUGACACCUGCCCGGUGCCGGAAGGUUAAGAGGAGGAGUGCAAGCUCCGAAUUGAAGCCCCGGUAAACGGCGGCCGUAACUAUAACGGUCCUAAGGUAGCGAAAUUCCUUGUCGGGUAAGUUCCGACCCGCACGAAUGGUGUAACGAUCUGGGCACUGUCUCAACUACCCACCCGGCGAAAUUGUAGUACCGGUGAAGAUGCCGGUUACCUGCGGCAAGACGGAAAGACCCCAUGGAGCUUUACUGUAGCCUGAUAUUGGGUUUCGGAAAUCUAUGUACAGGAUAGGCGGGAGACUGGGAAGUAUGAGCGUCAGCUUAUACGGAGUCGUUGUUGGGAUACCGCCCUUAGGUUUCUGGAAUUCUAACCUGCGACCGUGAAUCCGGUCGGGGGACAUUGUCAGGUGGGCAGUUUGACUGGGGCGGUCGCCUCCGAAAAGGUAACGGAGGCGCUCAAAGGUUGGCUCAGCACGGACGGAAACCGUGCCUC